GAUUGGCGCAUAUGCAGUUCAUUUCGCCAUCUGUGUUCAGCCACCUCCCGCAUCCAGCAUCGCCUGCGCGGAUCUAAAUAAAAGUAUCAUAACAAUGCACUGCAGAUAACCACUUUAGAAAUCUCUAUUUCAGCGACAUUGAUCCUGGCUUGACCACGGAUGCGUAUGAACUCUUUGAGGUACGAAACCUUGACCUCGCGCCAUUUGAUUAUUAAAUUAAUGCCGCAUUUUAUUGAUAUUUUUGGAGCGUCAAAGGGACAUAAGGGUUUUUUUCUAGGCCAGAGUUCAUCAGAUAGAGGUUAUUCUUGGUCUCAGCGCACUCGAGGUGGUAUUCAAGAGUUGCGAGUGCUGCUCGUUCGUCAUUAUAUGGCUAGCUGAACGCACAGAAUAGGACCUCUCAUUCAGACGAAUCGCUGAAAUGCAGUCUCUAACCCUUUACCUCUUUUUGCUCGUUGGCAUUUCUGCUGCUGUUCUCGCCGCUCCUUCUGAGACUGCCAACGCCAAGCCGAAAUCCCCUGCCAUCAAGCAAAUUUUAUUUAUUUUCAUUUUCGUAAAAUACCAUAAUUUUUCCAAGCAUCCAACGCACCUGCUCUCGAAUGGCAAGAAAUGCUACUUUCCAACAGAAUGGUUACUAAUUAUUUUACCCCGCCUUGAGAAAGCCUCGUAUCUUUGUAAUUUUUUUCGAUAGGUGGAUUAUGAUCAAGCAAAAGGAGCAACCACGUGCUUCUUUCGAUCAUCGAAACGCGUGAGGAACUGGACGUGGUGCAUGCCAAGGCCGAUUCCAUCACUGGAGUGGCUUGGUGGUUGGACGCGUCCGGCAUAGGACAGUAGCCUGGACAGUUCAAGUGGAGCAACGGAAACGAGCUGCCCCUCAACAGCUCACUCUGGCAUGACAAACAGCCGGAUUCGUAUGGCCAAGGCCUGAAGACAUGCGUUGUCUUUUCCACGUGGUUCGGCAAUAGCAUGUGGGACAAAAGGUGCAGCGACCGCCAUUGGGCUGUCUGCCAGGCCAACGAAGGCUGCUAAAAACUUGACCCAAACUUUGUGUUUUAAUUUAAGAUUUUUACACAUAACGCCAAUUGUGGUUUAUUUUUUGUUUAAAUUGCCAGGUGAUACUCAAUAUUUAUGGCUUCAUGAUAGUUUAAAGAGGAUUGAUGCAGCAAAAUCCUUGUUGUCAAUUUACAAGAACUCGUCCCUUGGGAUUCAGUUGAAGCCAAAAUUGGUCUAAGCAGCAAUGUAUUUUUUUAGGAACGUGGCUGCAAAGUUAGCAUACCUUUCAUGAAUGGUGAGGACUGUCUCCUUAUUUGAAAUCCUAUUUUAUUCCUCAACAAAGAGUUUCCCAAAUUAUGCAUGAUGUUGGACAGAUUUCAACGAGAGGAAUCGAAAUCUGCCAAGAAAAUGUGACCAAGCGCUGCAAAUUUUGGGGAAAAUUUGAAAAAAUUUAUUUUUUACUCUAGCACUGUCCUUUUUUGAUUAUUAUAAACAGUAGAACAAAAUUUGUAUCGAUCAAAUGUAUG